CAGCGACGCCGCGUGAGGGAUGACGGCCUUCGGGUUGUAAACCUCUUUCAGUAGGGAAGAAGCGAAAGUGACGGUACCUGCAGAAGAAGCGCCGGCUAACUACGUGCCAGCAGCCGCGGUAAUACGUAGGGCGCAAGCGUUAUCCGGAAUUAUUGGGCGUAAAGAGCUCGUAGGCGGUUUGUCGCGUCUGCUGUGAAAGACCGGGGCUCAACUCCGGUUCUGCAGUGGGUACGGGCAGACUAGAGUGCAGUAGGGGAGACUGGAAUUCCUGGUGUAGCGGUGAAAUGCGCAGAUAUCAGGAGGAACACCGAUGGCGAAGGCAGGUCUCUGGGCUGUAACUGACGCUGAGGAGCGAAAGCAUGGGGAGCGAACAGGAUUAGAUACCCUGGUAGUCCAUGCCGUAAACGUUGGGCACUAGGUGUGGGGGACAUUCCACGUUUUCCGCGCCGUAGCUAACGCAUUAAGUGCCCCGCCUGGGGAGUACGGCCGCAAGGCUAAAACUCAAAGGAAUUGACGGGGGCCCGCACAAGCGGCGGAGCAUGCGGAUUAAUUCGAUGCAACGCGAAGAACCUUACCAAGGCUUGACAUGAACCGGAAAGACCUGGAAACAGGUGCCCCGCUUGCGGUCGGUUUACAGGUGGUGCAUGGUUGUCGUCAGCUCGUGUCGUGAGAUGUUGGGUUAAGUCCCGCAACGAGCGCAACCCUCGUUCUAUGUUGCCAGCGCGUUAUGGCGGGAACUCAUA
rnacentral:rRNA from 1 species